rnacentral:rRNA from 1 species
ACGCACGCUGGCGGCGUGCUUCACACAUGCAGGUCGAACGGAAAGGCCCCCUUGUGGGGUACUCGAGUGGCGAACGGGUGAGUAACACGUGAGUAACCUACCCUUGACUUUGGGAUAACUUCAGGAAACUGGGGCUAAUACCGGAUAGGAGCUCCUGCUGCAUGGUGGGGGUUGGAAAGUUUCGGCGGUUGGGGAUGGACUCGCGGCUUAUCAGCUUGUUGGUGGGGUAGUGGCUCACCAAGGCUUUGACGGGUAGCCGGCCUGAGAGGGUGACCGGCCACAUUGGGACUGAGAUACGGCCCAGACUCCUACGGGAGGCAGCAGUGGGGAAUAUUGCACAAUGGGCGGAAGCCUGAUGCAGCAACGCCGCGUGCGGGAUGACGGCCUUCGGGUUGUAAACCGCUUUCGCCUGUGACGAAGCGUGAGUGACGGUAAUGGGUAAAGAAGCACCGGCUAACUACGUG